rnacentral:rRNA from 1 species
UCAAGUUAUGAAGGGCGCAGGGUGGAUGCCAUGGCACUGGACGCCGAAGAAAGACGUGGUAAGCUGCGAAAAGCCACGGGGAGCCGCAAGCAGGCUUUGAUCCGUGGAUGUCUGAAUGGGGAAACCCGGCGGAAGUAAUGUUCCGUCAUCCGUGAAUGAAUCCAUAGUUCACGAGAAGGGCACCCGGGGAACUGAAACAUCUAAGUACCCGGAGGAAAAGAAAGAAACAUCGAUUUCGUGAGUAGCGGCGAGCGAAAGCGAAGGAGCCCAAACCAUUCGACUACGGUUGGAUGGGGUUGUGGGUCAGCAGAACGUACGAGGAAAUCUAGGAGAAGAGUUCUGGAAAGGACUUCCAAAGAGGGUAAGAGGCCCGUAUCCGAAAGGUUGAAUCGGCAAGCUGAUACCAGAGUACCACAGGACACGAGGAAUCCGGUGGGAAGCAGGAGGGACCACCCUCCAAGGCUAAAUACGAUCCAGUGACCGAUAGCGCAUAGUACCGUGAGGGAAAGGUGAAAAGAACCCCGGGAGGGGAGUGAAAAAGAACCUGAAACCCUGUGCUUACAAGCAGAGAGAGCACGAUUAAGUGUGAUCUCGUACUUUUUGUAGAACGGACCGGCGAGUUACGUUAUGCAGCGAGGUUAAGAACUGAAGGUUUGGAGCCGAAGCGAAAGCGAGUCUGAAAAGGGCGAAGAGUUGCAUGACGUAGACCCGAAACCGGGUGACCUAUCCAUGGGCAGGUUGAAGUGGAAGUAAAAUUUCAUGGAGGACCGAACCAGACGUCUGUUGAAAAAGGCGGGGAUGACCUGUGGAUAGCGGAGAAAUUCCAAUCGAACCCGGAGAUAGCUGGUUCUCCUCGAAAUAGCUUUAGGGCUAGCCUCGCAUUAGUUUACCGGAGGUAGAGCACUGAAUGGUCUAGGGGGCCUCACCGCCUACCGAAACCUAUCAAACUGCGAAUGCCGGAUAAAUGAUGUGCGGGAGUCAGGCCGCGAGAGAUAAGUUCCGCGGUCAAAAGGGGAACACCCCAGAUCGUCUGCUAAGGUCCCCAAGUACGCGUUAAGUGGGAAAGGAUGUUGGAUUGCACAGACAACCAGGAUGUUGGCUUAGAAGCAGCCACACAUUCAAAGAGUGCGUAAUAGCUCACUGGUCGAGUGAUCCAGCGCCGAAAAUGUAACGGGGCUAAAACGCGACACCGAAGCAGCGGGAUGCGUAAGCAUCGGUAGAGGAGCAUUGUGUGAGGAUAGAAGCCAGAGCGGGAGCACUGGUGGACUUCACAGAAGAGAGAAUGCCGGUAUGAGUAGCGAGACCCAUGCGAGAAACAUGGGCGUCGAAGGCCCAAGGUUUCCUGGGGAAGGUUCAUCCACCCAGGGUAAGUCGGGACCUAAGCCGAGGACUGAGGUCGUAGGCGAUGGACAGCAGGUAGAGAUUCCUGCACCACUUACACUUGUUUGACGAAGCAGUGACACAGAAGGAUAGGACGAGCGCGGUGAUGGUCAACCGCGUAGGCGGCACGAGGCUGGGGAGCAGUAAAGUACACUUCCCGUGAAGGCUGAGUGUUGACAGGACCGAAAAAGAGUAGGGAAGCGUCUGAGUUCACGCUGGCGAGAAAAGCUGCUAAGGAGAGUGUGAGUGCCCGUACCGGAAACCGACGCAGGUGGGCGAGGAGAGAAUCCUGAGACGGACGGGAGAACUCUUGUUAAGGAACUCGGCAAAAUGACCCCGUAACUUCGGGAGAAGGGGUGCCUCGAAAGAGGCCGCAGAGAAUAGUCACAAGCGACUGUUUAGCAAAAACACAGGUAUCUGCGAAAGCGAGAGCUGACGUAUAGGUGCUGACGCCUGCCCGGUGCUGGAAGGUUAAGGGGAAGUGUUAGGGGAAACCCGAAGCAGAGAACCGAAGCCCCAGUAAACGGCGGCCGUAACUAUAACGGUCCUAAGGUAGCGAAAUUCCUUGUCGGGUAAGUUCCGACCCGCACGAAUGGCGUAACGACUUGUGAGCUGUCUCAACAGGAGGCCCGGUGAAAUUGAAGUAUGUGUGAAGAUGCACAUUACCCGCGACUGGACGGAAAGACCCCGUAGAGCUUUACUGUAACCUGACAUUGGAUCUUGAUAACGGAUGCACAGGAUAGGUGGGACGCUGGGAGGUAUGGACUUUGGUCUGUAUGGAGCGGACGUUGGGAUACCACUCUUCUGUUAUUGAGAUUCUAACCUCAAGCCGUAAGCCGGAUGAGAGACAGUGUCAGGCGGACAGUUUGACUGGGGCGGUCGCCUCC